AAAUUAUCACGGUCGCGAGACGCUCGCAUGGGCAUUGUCAUCACGAUAAUUCAUUGUACAAUGAAUCAUCGUGAUGACAAUGCCCACGCGAGCGUCUCGCGACCGUGAUAAUU